rnacentral:rRNA from 1 species
AUGAGCCACGGCGUCGCGGCGAGGAAGCGGUUCGGCGGCGUCGGCUUCGCGCUCGGCUGCGGCUGCAAGGACCCCAAGGCCGUGGCGGUCGCGGUGGCCGCCUCGUCGCCGCGCUCCGGCACGGAGGCGUCCACGGCGACCACGGCCACGUCGCGGAGGGCCAGCAGGACGCACCCGUCGGUGUCCACGUCCACCGGCACGCUCACCGUGCCCUCCGCCUCCUCCUCCUUCCUCUGGGAGGACGCCGACGCCGACGCCGACGAGGUCGAGUGCAAGCGGGCGAGCUCCGCGACCACGCCCAGCUUCUCCGGCCUGCUGCGCGAGCUCAGCGAGCUCGAGCGGAGCAUCAAGUCGUGCGCGCGGACCAAGAGCCCCCCAAGAAAACACUUCUCGCCACCGCCGCCGCCCCCUCCUCCUCCACCGCCGCCCCCGCCGUUGCCGUCGCGGCCCGUGCAGCGUCGAGCUGUGCGCAGCGACGACAAGCCCAGCAUCCAAGAGGGCCACGGGGACUUCUCGCCGCCGCGGCCGCGCCCGCUCCCGCCGCCGUCCGUGCAGGUCCCAACGCAGCAGCAUCGGAGGGUGAAGAGCGUUGACAAAGCCAGCAGGCAAGAAGGCGACGCGCACUUCACGCCACAGCCACCGCGACCGCUGCCCCCGCCGCCGCCGCUGGAGCCGGUCCGGAGCGCCAAGGCCGAGGAGGACAAUAAUAAAUCCAAGAGCAAAGAAGACGAGAAGCGCUCGCCGACACCGCCGCCGGCGCCGAAGCACCGGAAAGCGAUGAGCUGCGACAGCAACGGCAACGGCAACGGCUUCGGCGGCGGCGGCGGCAGCGGGAGGCUGGACGGGAGCGUGGCGGUGGUGAAGCAGUCGGAGGACCCGCUGGGCGACUUCCGGCGGUCGAUGGUGAACAUGAUCGUGGAGAACGGGAUCGUGACGGGGGACGAGCUGCGCGAGCUGCUCCGGCGCUUCCUGGCGCUGAACGCGCCGCGGCACCACGACGCCAUCCUCCGGGCCUUCGCGGAGAUCUGGGACGAGGUGUUCGCCCCCGCCACGGAGCCGGCCGCCAGGCCGACGGCGCCCCGGCAGAGGACGCCGCCCCGCCGCCGGCAACCCCUGCCUCCCCCGGCGUGGCGCGUGUAG